AAGUGACGAGUCCUGGAGUGGUGGCCGUAGCCAAGGGUUCUCCAUCCGGACAAGCAUCACCGAAAGUCCCCAAGCAUACACUCGUGACUCCAACCAAGAACCCCCGAUAUAAAUUCUUCACGUCGAAGAACGCGCGUGCCGAUGAAACCCCAGGGGCGUCGAAACAAACAACGGUUUUACCGGGACAGCCCUUCACUGACAAAGCUGAGCCUGCCCCCGAAGCUUCGCGGAGUGGACGAGUCUCAACUUCCCGGACGAGCGAGCGCAGUAAAACGCCCUUCUGGGUGCAGAGUCGUGCAGCCACCUCCGACCAGGAGAAAUCGGCAGAAAAGCCUGAUGAAGGUAUGGUGCACACUGCUCUUAGUUUCCUCAGCAACGGCCGACGAGCCCCCACCACCACCUACGAGAAGAAGUGAGCGACCUCGCAAACUCUCGGUACCCUCUUACAAAGAGCCCAAUGUUAACAGGAAAAUGCGACGCCAGUGAUUGGCAGGACAGCACCUUCCAGAGUCCAGACGAUCAGCUUGUGUGACAACACACAAUCUGUAGAUCAAUUUUAGUUUAAAAUAUUUUAUAGUUACUCCAACAGAGCGACUCCAUUAUAGUCUGUUGCAGGUUAAAAAAAGCAGCACCUGCUCCU